UACGAGGGGGGCAAGCGUUGUUCGGAAUUAUUGGGCGUAAAGGGUGCGUAGGCGGUUUGAUAAGUCAUCUGUGAAAUCUCUGGGCUCAACCCAGAGUCUGCAGGCGAAACUGUCGGGCUUGAGUAUGGGAGAGGUGAGUGGAAUUUCCGGUGUAGCGGUGAAAUGCGCAGAUAUCAGGAGGAACACCAAUGGCGAAGGGCAGCUCGCUGGGGACGGUACUGACGCUGAGACGCGAAAAGCGUGGGGGGAGCAAAAACAGGGAUUUAGAAA
rnacentral:rRNA from 1 species